GAUAGCGUGGCUGAUAAAAGCAUUAAACUGUAAAUUUAAUCAUAGGAAUUCCUCUCUAUCU
rnacentral:tRNA from 1 species